GUGAGUCAUCGAAUCUUUGAACGCACAUUGCGCCCCUUGGUAUUCCAUGGGGCAUGCCUGUUCGAGCGUCAUUUACCCCCUCAAGCUCUGCUUGGUGUUGGGCGUCUGUCCCGCCUUUUGCGCGGAGACUCGCCCCAAAAGCAUUGGCAGCGGUCGUGCCAGCCUCUCGCGCAGCAGUUUGCGCUCGGUGAGGUUCUAGGCGGAUCCGCGUCCACGAAGCCCACGUCUCCAACGUUUGACCUCGGAUCAGGUAGGGAUACCCGCUGAACUUAAGCAUAUCAAUAAGCGGAGGA
rnacentral:misc_RNA from 1 species